GAUGAACGCUGGCGGCGUGCCUAACACAUGCAAGUCGAGCGAUUCUCUUCGGAGAAGAGCGGCGGACGGGUGAGUAACGCGUGGGUAACCUGCCUCAUACACAUGGAUAACAUACCGAAAGGUAUGCUAAUACAAGAUGAUAUAAGAGAUUCGCAUGGAUUUCUUAUCAAAGCUCCGGCGGUAUGAGAUGGACCCGCGUCUGAUUAGCUAGUUGGUAAGGUAACGGCUUACCAAGGCGACGAUCAGUAGCCGACCUGAGAGGGUGAUCGGCCACAUUGGAACUGAGACACGGUCCAAACUCCUACGGGAGGCAGCAGUGGGGAAUAUUGCACAAUGGGCGAAAGCCUGAUGCAGCAACGCCGCGUGAGUGAUGAAGGCCUUCGGGUCGUAAAACUCUGUCCUCAAGGGAGAUAAUGACGGUACUUGAGGAGGAAGCCCCGGCUAACUACGUGCCAGCAGCCGCAGUAACAC
rnacentral:rRNA from 1 species